rnacentral:ribozyme from 1 species
CUUUCUCCUUUUCUUUCUCUUUCUCCUUUUCUUUCUUAUUCUUUGACUUUUUUAUCUUUGGGCUGGAGGGGUUGAGUAGGCAUCGAUGGUGGAUAAAACAUGCCCUCAUUAACCGGCUCAGGAAAAAAAUUAGUUCUUUUUCUUUUUUUUGUCUCAAAAGCA